GAUGAACGCUGGCGGCGUGCCUAAUACAUGCAAGUCGAGCGAACGGACGAGAAGCUUGCUUCUCUGAUGUUAGCGGCGGACGGGUGAGUAACACGUGGAUAACCUACCUAUAAGACUGGGAUAACUUCGGGAAACCGGAGCUAAUACCGGAUAAUAUUUUGAACCGCAUGGUUCAAAAGUGAAAGACGGUCUUGCUGUCACUUAUAGAUGGAUCCGCGCUGCAUUAGCUAGUUGGUAAGGUAACGGCUUACCAAGGCAACGAUGCAUAGCCGACCUGAGAGGGUGAUCGGCCACACUGGAACUGAGACGCGGUCCAGACUCCUACGGGAGGCAGCAGUAGGGAAUCUUCCGCAAUGGGCGAGAGCCUGACGGAGCAACGCCGCGUGAGUGAUGAAGGUCUUCGGAUCGUAAAACUCUGUUAUUAGGGAAGAACAUAUGUGUAAGUAACUGUGCACAUCUUGACGGUACCUAAUCAGAAAGCCACGGCUAACUACGUG
rnacentral:rRNA from 1 species